rnacentral:rRNA from 1 species
UACCAGGGGGGCUAGCGUUGUUCGGGAUCACUGGGCGUAAAGCGCACGCAGGCGGAUCGAUAAGUCGGGGGUGAAAGACCGGGGCUCAACCUCGGAAUUGCCUGUGAUACUGGCGGUCUCGAGUACGGGAGAGGUGAGUGGAAUUCCUAGUGUAGAGGUGAAAUUCGUAGAUAUUAGGAAGAACACCAGUGGCGAAGGCGGCUCACUGGCACGCGACUGACGGUCAGGUGCGAAAGCGUGGGGAGCAAACAGG